GACGAAGGGGGCUAGCGUUGUUCGGAAUUACUGGGUGUAAAGGGUUCGUAGGCGGUGUGGCAAGUCGGGAGUGAAAUCUCUGGGCUCAACUCAGAGACUGCUUCCGAAACUGCUGUGCUGGAGUGUGGGAGAGGCGCGUGGAAUUGCAGGUGUAGCGGUGAAAUGCGUAGAUAUCUGCAGGAACACCCGUGGCGAAAGCGGCGCGCUGGACCACUACUGACGCUGAGGAACGAAAGCUAGGGGAGCAAACAGG
rnacentral:rRNA from 1 species